rnacentral:rRNA from 2 species
AAGAUUGGUGCUUGCAUCAUGAUUUACAUUUGAGUGAGUGGCGAACUGGUGAGUAACACGUGGGAAACCUGCCCAGAAGCGGGGGAUAACACCUGGAAACAGAUGCUAAUACCGCAUAACAACUUGGACCGCAUGGUCCGAGCUUGAAAGAUGGCUUCGGCUAUCACUUUUGGAUGGUCCCGCGGCGUAUUAGCUAGAUGGUGGGGUAACGGCUCACCAUGGCAAUGAUACGUAGCCGACCUGAGAGGGUAAUCGGCCACAUUGGGACUGAGACACGGCCCAAACUCCUACGGGAGGCAGCAGUAGGGAAUCUUCCACAAUGGACGAAAGUCUGAUGGAGCAACGCCGCGUGAGUGAAGAAGGGUUUCGGCUCGUAAAACUCUGUUGUUAAAGAAGAACAUAUCUGAGAGUAACUGUUCAGGUAUUGACGGUAUUUAACCAGAAAGCCACGGCUAACUACGUGCCAGCAGCCGCGGUAAUACGUAGGUGGCAAGCGUUGUCCGGAUUUAUUGGGCGUAAAGCGAGCGCAGGCGGUUUUUUAAGUCUGAUGUGAAAGCCUUCGGCUCAACCGAAGAAGUGCAUCGGAAACUGGGAAACUUGAGUGCAGAAGAGGACAGUGGAACUCCAUGUGUAGCGGUGAAAUGCGUAGAUAUAUGGAAGAACACCAGUGGCGAAGGCGGCUGUCUGGUCUGUAACUGACGCUGAGGCUCGAAAGUAUGGGUAGCAAACAGGAUUAGAUACCCUGGUAGUCCAUACCGUAAACGAUGAAUGCUAAGUGUUGGAGGGUUUCCGCCCUUCAGUGCUGCAGCUAACGCAUUAAGCAUUCCGCCUGGGGAGUACGGCCGCAAGGCUGAAACUCAAAGGAAUUGACGGGGGCCCGCACAAGCGGUGGAGCAUGUGGUUUAAUUCGAAGCUACGCGAAGAACCUUACCAGGUCUUGACAUACUAUGCAAAUCUAAGAGAUUAGACGUUCCCUUCGGGGACAUGGAUACAGGUGGUGCAUGGUUGUCGUCAGCUCGUGUCGUGAGAUGUUGGGUUAAGUCCCGCAACGAGCGCAACCCUUAUUAUCAGUUGCCAGCAUUAAGUUGGGCACUCUGGUGAGACUGCCGGUGACAAACCGGAGGAAGGUGGGGAUGACGUCAAAUCAUCAUGCCCCUUAUGACCUGGGCUACACACGUGCUACAAUGGAUGGUACAACGAGUUGCGAACUCGCGAGAGUAAGCUAAUCUCUUAAAGCCAUUCUCAGUUCGGAUUGUAGGCUGCAACUCGCCUACAUGAAGUCGGAAUCGCUAGUAAUCGCGGAUCAGCAUGCCGCGGUGAAUACGUUCCCGGGCCUUGUACACACCGCCCGUCACACCAUGAGAGUUUGUAACACC